GAGACUUUAGCUUAAUCGGUAAAGCGUGUGCCUUUUAAUCACUUUAAUGGGGGUUCAAGUCCCUUAGGUCUUA
rnacentral:tRNA from 1 species